GACGAACGCUGGCGGCGUGCCUAAUACAUGCAAGUCGAACGCAGUUGGGACGGGUGAGUAACACGUGGGUAACCUCCCAUCAGAGGGGAUAACACUUGGAAACAGGUGCUAAACCGAUACUGGUUGAUGGACCCGCGGUGCAUUAGCUAGUUGGUGAGGUAACGGCUUACAAAGACGACGAUGCAUAGCCGACCUGAGAGAGUGAUCGGCCACACUGGGACUGAGACACGGCCCAGACUCCUACGGGAGGCAGCAGUAGGGAAUCUUCCACAAUGGACGAAAGUCUGACCGAGCAACGCCGCGUGAGUGAAGAAGGUUUUCGGAUCGUAAAACUCUGUUGUUAGAGAAGCGGUAACUAACCAGAAAGCCACGGCUAACUACGUGCCAGCAGCCGCGGUAAUUC
rnacentral:rRNA from 1 species